rnacentral:antisense_RNA from 1 species
AAAGUUCUGUGACUGCUGGUAAAGGAUUACUUAAAAAUGUUCAGUACGGAUAAUACAAGGUAAAGAACCACAAAAGAAAGUUUUUUAGAUCCUCGAAACAACUCGUA